UUUGGCGGUAAUACCGAGGUUGUUCCACCCGAUCCCAUACCGAACUCGGAAGUGAAAUACCUCAGGGCCGAUGAUAUUGCGAUUUUCGUGAGAAAGUAGGUCGCCGCCAGCU
rnacentral:rRNA from 2 species